GUGGAAAGAGACUUCGGUCGAAUGGAAGACGGAGGAAAGUAGGCGAACGGGUGAGUAACGCGUGAGGAACCUGCCUCGGAGUGGGGGACGAACAAGUUGGAAACGACUGCUAAUACCGCAUAAUGUGCCUGGGAGACAUCUCCCCGGGUACCAAAGCUUUAUGUGCUCUGAGAUGGCCUCGCGUCUGAUUAGAUAGUUGCGGGGUAACGGCCCCACCCAAGUCGACGAUCAGUAGCCGGUCUGAGAGGAUGAACGGCCACAUUGGGACUGAGAUACGGCCCAGACUCCUACGGGAGGCAGCAGUGGGGAAUAUUGGGCAAUGGGCGCAAGCCUGACCCAGCAACGCCGCGUGAAGGAAGAAGGCUUUCGGGUUGUAAACUUCUUUUACCAGGGACGAAGGAUGUGACGGUACCUGGAGAAAAAGCCACGACUAACUACGUGCC
rnacentral:rRNA from 1 species